rnacentral:rRNA from 1 species
UGGGGAAUAUUGGGCAAUGGGCGCAAGCCUGACCCAGCAACGCCGCGUGAAGGAAGAAGGCUUUCGGGUUGUAAACUUCUUUUAUUCGGGACGAAACAAAUGACGGUACCGAAUGAAUAAGCCACGGCUAACUACGUGCCAGCAGCCGCGGUAAUACGUAGGUGGCAAGCGUUAUCCGGAUUUACUGGGUGUAAAGGGCGUGUAGGCGGGACUGUAAGUCAGGCGUGAAAACCAUGGGCUCAACCCAUGGCCUGCGUUUGAAACUAUGGUUCUUGAGUGUCGGAGAGGUAAUCGGAAUUCCGUGUGUAGCGGUGAAAUGCGUAGAUAUACGGAGGAACACCAGUGGCGAAGGCGGAUUACUGGACGAUAACUGACGCUGAGGCGCGAAAGCGUGGGGAGCAAACA